UAACCUGCCCAAGAGAUCGGGAUAACACCUGGAAACAGAUGCUAAUACCGGAUAACAACAGAUGAUGCCUAUCAACUGUUUAAAAGAUGGUUCUGCUAUCACUCUUGGAUGGACCUGCGGUGCAUUAGCUAGUUGGUAGGGUAACGGCCUACCAAGGCGAUGAUGCAUAGCCGAGUUGAGAGACUGAUCGGCCACAUUGGGACUGAGACACGGCCCAAACUCCUACGGGAGGCAGCAG
rnacentral:rRNA from 1 species